rnacentral:rRNA from 1 species
ACGGGGCUGAAUGUACCUGAAGAAUAAGCAUCGGCUAACUCCGUGCCAGCAGCCGCGGUAAUACGGAGGAUGCAAGCGUUAUCCGGAUUUAUUGGGUUUAAAGGGUGCGCAGGCGGAUAAGUAAGUCAGUGGUGAAAUCUCUCGGCUCAACCGAGAAACUGCCAUUGAUACUGUUUAUCUUGAGUGUAAAUGAAGUGGGCGGAAUGUAGCAUGUAGCGGUGAAAUGCAUAGAUAUGCUACAGAACACCAAUUGCGAAGGCAGCUCACUAAAUUACAACUGACGCUCAUGCACGAAAGCGUGAGGAUCAAACAGGAUUAGAUACCCUGGUAGUCCACGCUGUAAACGAUGAUUACUCGUUGUGGCGAUACACAGUCAGCGGACCAAAGCGAAAAGU